AAAUUGAAGAGUUUGAUCAUGGCUCAGAUUGAACGCUGGCGGCAGGCCUAACACAUGCAAGUCGAACGGUAACAGGAAGAAGCUUGCUUCUUUGCUGACGAGUGGCGGACGGGUGAGUAAUGUCUGGGAAACUGCCUGAUGGAGGGGGAUAACUACUGGAAACGGUAGCUAAUACCGCAUAACGUCGCAAGACCAAAGAGGGGGACCUUCGGGCCUCUUGCCAUCGGAUGUGCCCAGAUGGGAUUAGCUAGUAGGUGGGGUAACGGCUCACCUAGGCGACGAUCCCUAGCUGGUCUGAGAGGAUGACCAGCCACACUGGAACUGAGACACGGUCCAGACUCCUACGGGAGGCAGCAGUGGGGAAUAUUGCACAAUGGGCGCAAGCCUGAUGCAGCCAUGCCGCGUGUAUGAAGAAGGCCUUCGGGUUGUAAAGUACUUUCAGCGGGGAGGAAGGGAGUAAAGUUAAUACCUUUGCUCAUUGACGUUACCCGCAGAAGAAGCACCGGCUAACUCCGUGCCAGCAGCCGCGGUAAUACGGAGGGUGCAAGCGUUAAUCGGAAUUACUGGGCGUAAAGCGCACGCAGGCGGUUUGUUAAGUCAGAUGUGAAAUCCCCGGGCUCAACCUGGGAACUGCAUCUGAUACUGGCAAGCUUGAGUCUCGUAGAGGGGGGUAGAAUUCCAGGUGUAGCGGUGAAAUGCGUAGAGAUCUGGAGGAAUACCGGUGGCGAAGGCGGCCCCCUGGACGAAGACUGACGCUCAGGUGCGAAAGCGUGGGGAGCAAACAGGAUUAGAUACCCUGGUAGUCCACGCCGUAAACGAUGUCGACUUGGAGGUUGUGCCCUUGAGGCGUGGCUUCCGGAGCUAACGCGUUAAGUCGACCGCCUGGGGAGUACGGCCGCAAGGUUAAAACUCAAAUGAAUUGACGGGGGCCCGCACAAGCGGUGGAGCAUGUGGUUUAAUUCGAUGCAACGCGAAGAACCUUACCUGGUCUUGACAUCCACGGAAGUUUUCAGAGAUGAGAAUGUGCCUUCGGGAACCGUGAGACAGGUGCUGCAUGGCUGUCGUCAGCUCGUGUUGUGAAAUGUUGGGUUAAGUCCCGCAACGAGCGCAACCCUUAUCCUUUGUUGCCAGCGGUCCGGCCGGGAACUCAAAGGAGACUGCCAGUGAUAAACUGGAGGAAGGUGGGGACGACGUCAAGUCAUCAUGGCCCUUACGACCAGGGCUACACACGUGCUACAAUGGCGCAUACAAAGAGAAGCGACCUCGCGAGAGCAAGCGGACCUCAUAAAGUGCGUCGUAGUCCGGAUUGGAGUCUGCAACUCGACUCCAUGAAGUCGGAAUCGCUAGUAAUCGUGGAUCAGAAUGCCACGGUGAAUACGUUCCCGGGCCUUGUACACACCGCCCGUCACACCAUGGGAGUGGGUUGCAAAAGAAGUAGGUAGCUUAACCUUCGGGAGGGCGCUUACCACUUUGUGAUUCAUGACUGGGGUGAAGUCGUAACAAGGUAACCGUAGGGGAACCUGCGGUUGGAUCACCUCCUUA
rnacentral:rRNA from 1 species